rnacentral:rRNA from 1 species
UCCGUAGGUGAACCUGCGGAAGGAUCAUUGUCGAAGCCUAGAAAGCACGACCGCGGAUUAUUUUACAAUCGAGGGAACGUCAAUGUGCCUUGUUUGCAUCAUUGCGUAACCUUGUUCGGAUGGCGAGUAGACCUUUGCUUCUCGAACUCCGAAUUUAACAAACCUCGGCGCGGAUAGCGCCAAGUAUUCAAAACGAAAAGAGCGUGAUCCUUUCACCCGUUGAUCGGGAUGCAAGGGUCUUGUUUAUUCAGAAAAUAUCAUAACGACUCUCGGCAACGGAUAUCUCGGCUCUCGCAUCGAUGAAGAACGUAGCAAAAUGCGAUACUUGGUGUGAAUUGCAGAAUCCCGUGAAUCAUCGAGUCUUUGAACGCAAGUUGCGCCCGAAGCCUUUAGGUCGAGGGCACGUCUGCCUGGGCGUCAUGCAUUGCGAUGCCCCUCAUACAAGCAUGAGGGGCGAAUCUUGGCCUCCCGUUAGCUCCAACUCGCGGAUGGCUUAAAAAUGAGCCUUUAGACGGGACAACGUCGCGACAAGUGGUGGUUAAAUGAGCUUCGGCCUUAGAACUUAGCAUGUCGUUACCUUUCCCAUCUAUCUCUUUUAAAAGACCUAACUGGCUUGCGUUAAAUUCGUAGCCAGCAUUGUGACCCCAGGUCAGGCGGGACAACCCGCUGAGUUAA